CGCCUUUUGACUUACUAACAUAAAAGGUCCUGCCUGCCCAGUGACACCUGUUCAACGGCCGCGGUAUUAUGACCGUGCAAAGGUAGCGUAAUCACUUGUCCUUUAAAUAAAGACCAGUAUGAACGGCAAGACGAAAGCCUAACUGUCUCUCUAUAUUUGUCAAUGAAAUUGAUCUUUCCGUGCAGAAGCGGAAAUAUUAUUAUAAGACGAGAAGACCCUGUGGAGCUUUAAGUUAAAGCCAACUAUUCAAUAUAGUAUGAUUAUAAGACUUUAGGUUGGGGCGACCACGAGGUAAAAUAAAACCCUCAGGAUAAAAUUUUAGAAGGACACUUCAAAUAAACAAAAUAUUGAUAUAUUGACCCAAAAAAUUGAUCAACGAACCAAGUUACCCCAGGGAUAACAGCGCAAUCCACUCAUAGAGUCCUUAUCGACGAGCGGGUUUACGACCUCGAUGUUGGAUCAGGACCCCCCAAUAAUGUAACAAUUAUUAAAGGUUCGUUUGUUCAACGAUUAAAGUCCU
rnacentral:rRNA from 1 species